UAAAUGACUAGUAGAGUACAAACCAGCUAUGACAAUCCGAAAGCUUACUUUCAGUCUGCCACACCACAGCUGAUUGGAUGAGUUUUUCUAUCAUAUCAAGACUUGGUUUAAAAUUGGCUUCAUUUGGCAUCUCAAAUGUGGAUAAAGUAGUUCUGAGUUACGGGUUGAUAGCCAGAAUGAGUUCCCAGUCAAAUCAUCACUCCCAUGGAUGAGAAUAUGCAGUGCACUAAUUUGGCCUGCCCAGUGGCUAUAGUGCUUUUACGGGAAUGGAGAAGAUUUCAUGUGCCUUUCGCAUUGAAGAUCAGCUGCAAUGUUAGAUGAUGGCAGCUCACAGGGAGGGUUAGGCUGCCUGUAGUUGAACUGGACUCAAUUACCCCGAUAUGCCUGUGGAUUCAUGUUCUAGCAUAGGCGCCCUGCAAGGAAGCUUCAAAAAACAACACAAGAUUGCAAGUUCAGGAAUACUGUUCCAAUAUCUAGAAACGCUGCUGUACUUGUUCUGGUCUCAUUUCAGUAUAGAAACGCUGCUGUACUAAUUCUUUGUCAGACGCACAAGCCUUUUACUACUAAACAACUCUCCUGGGAAUUUGAAUUUGCUUAUUCUGGUCUUUCCUCGAUUUAUUUCAA